rnacentral:rRNA from 1 species
UAGCGAAGGGGGCUAGCGUUGCUCGGAAUUAUGCUAGGGCGUAAAGCGCACGUAGGCGGCUACGGUUAAGUCGGUGGUGAAAUCCUGGAGCUCAACUCCAGAACUGCCUUCGAGUACUGGCGAGCUUGAGUUCGGGAGAGGUGAGUGGAACUGCGAGUGUAGAGGUGAAAUUCGUAGAUAUUGCAAGAACACCAGUGGCGAAGGCGGCUCACUGGCCCGAGUACUGACGCUGAGGUGGCGAAAAGCGAUGGGGAGCAAACUAGGGAUUAAGAUGAACCC